rnacentral:snRNA from 1 species
UCUACUUAGACAAUUUUUCUUUCU